UACGGGGGGGCGGAGCGUUGUUCGGAAUCACUGGGCGUAAAGGGCGCGUAGGCGGCCCGCACAAGUCUGCGGUGAAAACCCCCGGCUUAACCGGGGGCCGGCCGUGGAAACUGUCGGGCUAGAGGCCGGGAGAGGGCAGCGGAAUUCCCGGUGUAGCGGUGAAAUGCGUAGAGAUCGGGAGGAACACCGGCGGCGAAGGCGGCUGCCUGGACCGGCCCUGACGCUGAGGCGCGAAAGCUAGGGGAGCAAACAGG
rnacentral:rRNA from 1 species